CACGUAGGGGGCGAGCGUUGUCCGGAUUUAUUGGGCGUAAAGAGCUCGUAGGUGGUUCAGUAAGUCGAGUGUGAAACCUCCAGGCUCAACCUGGAGACGCCACCCGAUACUGCUGUGACUAGAGUCCAGUAGGGGAGCACGGAAUUCCUGGUGUAGCGGUGAAAUGCGCAGAUAUCAGGAGGAACACCAGUGGCGAAGGCGGAUCUCUGGGCCGAUACUGACGCUGAGGAGCGAAAGCGUGGGGAGCGAACAGG
rnacentral:rRNA from 1 species